rnacentral:rRNA from 1 species
GAUGAACGCUGGCGGCGUGCCUAAUACAUGCAAGUCGAGCGAACAGACGAGGAGCUUGCUCCUCUGACGUUAGCGGCGGACGGGUGAGUAACACGUGGAUAACCUACCUAUAAGACUGGGAUAACUUCGGGAAACCGGAGCUAAUACCGGAUAAUAUAUUGAACCGCAUGGUUCAAUAGUGAAAGACGGUUUUGCUGUCACUUAUAGAUGGAUCCGCGCCGCAUUAGCUAGUUGGUGAGGUAACGGCUUACCAAGGCAACGAUGCGUAGCCGACCUGAGAGGGUGAUCGGCCACACUGGAACUGAGACACGGUCCAGACUCCUACGGGAGGCAGCAGUAGGGAAUCCUCCGCAAUGGGCGAAAGCCUGACGGAGCAACGCCGCGUGAGUGAUGAAGGUCUUCGGAUCGUAAAACUCUGUUAUUAGGGAAGAACAAAUGUGUAAGUAACUAUGCACGUCUUGACGGUACCUAAUCAGAAAGCCACGGCUAACUACGUG